ensembl:snoRNA
UGUCAGAAACUCGUCAAAUGCAGUGCCAUCCUCUGUGGCUGGUACUGGCUCGGCUGGCUACUGCAGAAAUAGCUGUAGUUCAUGGGUCCCAGGUCUCCCUGACUGAGCUCUGGGGCCACAAGCGUUCUGCAGACGCUU